GACGAACGCUGGCGGCGUGCUUAACACAUGCAAGUCGAACGGCAAGGCCCUGCUCUUGCGGGGUGCUCGAGUGGCGAACGGGUGAGUAACACGUGAGUAACCUUCCCUUGACUUUGGGAUAACUUCAGGAAACUGGGGCUAAUACCGGAUAGGUGCUCCUGCUGCAUGGUGGGGGUUGGAAAGUUUCGGCGGUUGGGGAUGGACUCGCGGCUUAUCAGCUUGUUGGUGGGGUAGUGGCUUACCAAAGCCUUGUCGGGUAGCCGGGCUGAGAGGGGGGCCGGCCACAUUGGGCCUGAGAUGCGGCCCAGACUCCUACGGGAGGCAACGGUGGAGAGAAGUGUACAACGGGCGGAGGCCUGGUGCGACGGCGCCGCGUGCGGGAUGAGGGCAUUCGGUUUGUAUUCUGCUUUCGCUUGAGACGUGGGGAAUGUGACGGUAAUGUAUGAAGAAGCACCGGCUAACUACGUG
rnacentral:rRNA from 1 species